rnacentral:rRNA from 1 species
AGAGUUUGAUCCUGGCUCAGAUUGAACGCUGGCGGCAGGCCUAACACAUGCAAGUCGAACGGUAACAGGAAGCAGCUUGCUGCUUCGCUGACGAGUGGCGGACGGGUGAGUAAUGUCUGGGAAACUGCCUGAUGGAGGGGGAUAACUACUGGAAACGGUAGCUAAUACCGCAUAACGUCGCAAGACCAAAGAGGGGGACCUUCGGGCCUCUUGCCAUCGGAUGUGCCCAGAUGGGAUUAGCUAGUAGGUGGGGUAACGGCUCACCUAGGCGACGAUCCCUAGCUGGUCUGAGAGGAUGACCAGCCACACUGGAACUGAGACACGGUCCAGACUCCUACGGGAGGCAGCAGUGGGGAAUAUUGCACAAUGGGCGCAAGCCUGAUGCAGCCAUGCCGCGUGUAUGAAGAAGGCCUUCGGGUUGUAAAGUACUUUCAGCGGGGAGGAAGGGAGUAAAGUUAAU